UGUAUCUGAAGUCUGACGAGGAUGAGAACCUCCGGGGGCAAGAGGUUAGACCCGAGCGAAGCGAGAGAACGUUGCGUCAGCAACGGCCCGCAGGGCGAGCCACGCAGUGGCGAGUCAUCCUCUAUCACCGACCA
rnacentral:sRNA from 1 species